rnacentral:sRNA from 1 species
GGGCGCCAAAACAACGAAAGCCCUACCUCUCUUCCAUCCUUACGGUUCCUCUGACCGAGCCAGUAUGAUCCAACGCAACAAUAAAAUC